rnacentral:rRNA from 1 species
GACGAACGCUGGCGGCGUGCUUAACACAUGCAGGUCGAACGGAAAGGCUCCAGCUUGCUGGAGUACUCGAGUGGCAAACGGGUGAGUAACACGUGGGUAAUCUGCCCUGCACUCUGGGAUAAGCCUGGGAAACUGGGUCUAAUACUGGAUAUGACCUUUCUCCUUAUGGGGUUUGGUGGAAAGUUUUUCGGUGUAGGAUGAGCCCGCGGCCUAUCAGCUUGUUGGUGGGGUGAUGGCCUACCAAGGCGACGACGGGUAGCCGGCCUGAGAGGGUGAUCGGCCACAUUGGGACUGAGAUACGGCCCAGACUCCUACGGGAGGCAGCAGUGGGGAAUAUUGCACAAUGGGCGGAAGCCUGAUGCAGCGACGCCGCGUGAGGGAUGACGGCCUUCGGGUUGUAAACCUCUUUCAGCAGGGACGAAGCGUAAGUGACGGUACCUGCAGAAGAAGCACCGGCUAACUAUGUG